rnacentral:rRNA from 1 species
GAUGAACGCUGGCGGCGUGCCUAAUACAUGCAAGUCGAGCGAACGGACGAGAAGCUUGCUUUUCUGAUGUUAGCGGCGGACGGGUGAGUAACACGUGGAUAACCUACCUAUAAGACUGGGAUAACUUCGGGAAACCGGAGCUAAUACCGGAUAAUAUUUUGAACCGCAUGGUUCAAAAGUGAAAGACGGUCUUGCUGUCACUUAUAGAUGGAUCCGCGCUGCAUUAGCUAGUUGGUAAGGUAACGGCUUACCAAGGCAACGAUGCAUAGCCGACCUGAGAGGGUGAUCGGCCACACUGGAACUGAGACACGGUCCAGACUCCUACGGGAGGCAGCAGUAGGGAAUCUUCCGCGAUGGGCGAAAGCCUGACGGAGCAACGCCGCGUGAGUGAUGAAGGUCUUCGGAUCGUAAAACUCUGUUAUUAGGGAAGAACAUAUGUGUAAUUAACUGUGCACAUCUUGACGGUACCUAAUCAGAAAGCCACGGCUAACUACGUG